CGGAGGAUCCAAGCGUUAUCCGGAUUUAUUGGGUUUAAAGGGUGCGUAGGCGGCUUUUUAAGUCAGGGGUGAAAGACGGUAGCUCAACUACCGCAGUGCCCUUGAUACUGAAGAGCUUGAAUGUACUUGAGGUAGGCGGAAUGUGACAAGUAGCGGUGAAAUGCAUAGAUAUGUCACAGAACACCAAUUGCGAAGGCAGCUUACUAAAGUAUGAUUGACGCUGAGGCACGAAAGCGUGGGGAUCAAACAGGAUUAGAUACCCUGGUAGUCCACGCCCUAAACGAUGAACACUCGAUGUUGGCGAUAUACGGUCAGCGUCUAAGCGAAAGCGUUAAGUGUUCCACCUGGGGAGUACGCCCGCAAGGGUG
rnacentral:rRNA from 1 species